rnacentral:rRNA from 1 species
UACGGGGGGGGCAAGCGUUGUUCGGAAUUACUGGGCGUAAAGGGCGCGUAGGCGGCUUGGCAAGUCGGAUGUGGAAUCCCUCGGCUCAACCAAGGAAGUGCAUCCGAAACUGCUGAGCUUGAGUACUUAAGAGGAUCGCGGAAUUCCCGGUGUAGAGGUGAAAUUCGUAGAUAUCGGGAGGAACACCAGUGGCGAAGGCGGCGAUCUGGGAAGAUACUGACGCUGAGGUGCGAAAGCGUGGGGAGCAAACAGG